UGGUGGGUUGCCUUGUCAGGUUGAUUCCGGUAACGAACGAGACCUCAGCCUGCUAAAUAGUCAGCGGCACUCUGGUGCUGCACUGACUUCUUAGAGGGACUAUUGGCGUUUAGCCAAUGGAAGUGUGAGGCAAUAACA
rnacentral:rRNA from 1 species